UGAGUAACCUGCCCUUAACUCUGGGAUAAGCCUGGGAAACUGGGUCUAAUACCGGAUAUGACUCCUCAUCGCAUGGGUGGGGGGUGGAAAGCUUUAUUGUGGUUUUGGAUGGACUCGCGGCCUAUCAGCUUGUUGGUGAGGUAAUGGCUCACCAAGGCGACGACGGGUAGCCGGCCUGAGAGGGUGAUCGGCCACACUGGGACUGAGACACGGCCCAGACUCCUACGGGAGGCAG
rnacentral:rRNA from 1 species